rnacentral:rRNA from 1 species
UACGUAGGGGGCAAGCGUUGUCCGGAUUUAUUGGGCGUAAAGAGCGUGUAGGCGGCCAAUCAGGUCCGCUGUGAAAACUCGAGGCUCAACCUCGAGACGUCGGUGGAAACCGUUUAGCUAGAGUCCGGAAGAGGAGAGUGGAAUUCCCGGUGUAGCGGUGAAAUGCGCAGAUAUCGGGAAGAACACCCGUGGCGAAGGCGGCUCUCUGGGACGGUACUGACGCUGAGACGCGAAAGCGUGGGGAGCGAACAGG